CAUCGUAUUCGGCAUCAUUUGACUGGGUACUUCAGUAAGCACAGGCCCGUACUGCGAAGUGGAACCCACCAGCAAGUCAGUCGAUGGAUUCAAACCGCCCAACAUCUUUCCUCAUAGUAACGUGUACAUACAAGAUAAUUUACAUUCUGGGAAUAUAAAAAUAGACACUGUGGUUGACUCGUAAUAGAUUGAAGGUGAUAUAUUUUCUUUCUGCAACAAAUUCUAUUGCUGUGCUGGAAAUUGUGGAUCUCUAAAAUACCCAUCUUUCUCACAUUUAUAUGGGUCAAUACACAACACCUUGUACUUUGGCAAACAUCUUGAUGGUUAUUUACAUAAUUGCUUCAAUUUUCAUAAAACUGUAAAAAAAAUGCAUUAGUAGCAAAAGCUAUAGAGCAAUAGAUUGUAGUUGGAAUUCAAAUGUAAUUUAAUCGUUUGAAAAUACACUGAAAAAUGAGGGAUGGAAGAAAAAAAGGAUCAAACUGUAUUUUUAAUUGGAGCAACAAAAUUCCGAGAUGCGGCAGAAUCUUAGCACCGAGUAUUAGAAAAAAUAAUUUCGCCCGGAUGAAGUGACACGCGAAAUAAUUUAUACUCGAGAUAAAUCGAUUUUCAUAAUAUACAGCGAAUCAGAAUUAACUGGAUAAAGAUUUUAUUAUGUCCAUAUAAAAAAUGUCAACAGAAUAAUAAAUCUGAUUAUUUUCUAUUUACUACAGGAUGAAAUACUAUUUCCAGUAUUCAUGUAUACAACCCUGAGGUGUUUCACAGGCCUAUCUAGUACUUCAAUCCCACCCCACCAACUGUGAAUUCUUAUUCUUUUAAGCAUUGAUGUUUCACUGAAUUCCAUUGGCACGAGAAAUGUUGUGAAAUACCUAGCUAAUAAAGCUUUUUAUUUUUUUA